GGCUGUAUGUAUUGGUUAAACGUGAAAGUCUCAUAAGCUUUUAUUUAUAGGUUCAAAUCCUAUUGCUGUCA
rnacentral:tRNA from 1 species